rnacentral:rRNA from 1 species
AAGACCUUGCGCUUUUGGAGCGGCCGAUGCCUGAUUAGCUUGUUGGUAAGGUAAAAGCUUACCAAGGCUUCGAUCAGUAGCUGGUCUGAGAGGACGACCAGCCACACUGGGACUGAGACACGGCCCAGACUCCUACGGGAGGCAGCAGUGGGGAAUUUUGGACAAUGGGGGCAACCCUGAUCCAGCCAUGCCGCGUGAGUGAAGAAGGCCUUCGGGUUGUAAAGCUCUUUCAGCCGGAACGAAACGGUUACGGAUAACACCCGUGACUACUGACGGUACCGGAAGAAGAAGCACCGGCUAACUACGUGCCAGCAGCCGCGGUAAUACGUAGGGUGCGAGCGUUAAUCGGAAUCACUGGGCGUAAAGCGUGCGCAGGUGGUUUUGUAAGUCAGAUGUGAAAGCCCCGGGCUCAACCUGGGAACU